ensembl:lncRNA
CCUUUGUUACUCAGAUGUUUUUGGACUGCAACUCCCAGAAGCCUUCACCAUCAGCUCUGCUGGCUGAGGUUUCAGGGAGUUGCAGUUCAAAAACACCUGAGUAACAAAGGUUAAGAACCACUGCCUUAAAGGACAACAGCGAGCAUGUGUGCCCUUGGACAAGCUAGAUGGUCCCUGAACACCCUCAGAAAAAGGAAAUAGUAAAUCACUUCUGAUCACUAUCUACAUAGAGUCAGUGCAAGCCAGAAUCAACUCCUCAGCACAUAAUUAUAAAUUACUGAAAUGUAAUACCCUUGCUGCAGUUUUGCACCAUUAUGAAUACUCACUCUUUUUUUUACAAGACAAAUGAUAGGGUUCCAGUGCUGGGAGCCUAUAGGUACAUCUCACCCCUUAAAUCAGGGGUGGGCAAUUUCUAUAAGGGGCCACAUGAAAAAUCUGAACUGUGUUCGGGGGCUGAACCAACUUUACUUAAAAAUAAAAUGAAACAGUGAUGUUAUGAUUGUUUUUAUUUUAAGCUUGUUAAUCUUCACAAAUACUAAAGAGGUUUUUGCGGUACGUUAAACAUAAGCAACUGAUUAAGUUUAGACAAAAAGCUAUAAAUGUUUUUGAUGUCCGGCGGGCGGGACAGAAGCAGCUUGCGGGCAGUAUGUGGCCCUCGGGCCGCCCAGGUCUGCCUUAAAUACACAAGGCGCACAGCGAUGUAAAUACUCCUAGAGAACCCCUCAGUCUCCUGGAGUGUCAAGUCCCCAGAAGGCACCAAAAUCAUCACAGUGAUCGGAGCCCAGUGCUGACAUCAUUGGGGUAUCCCCUGUUCCCCUAUCACAGAACAUCAUAUCCCCUUCUCAAUAUUUCACACUGAACCUGCCACUGUGACAGAAAAUUAUGUAAGGGAUUGUGAGUCGCUCACGACUCUCUAGGGAUUCACACUCCGCCCUAUUAGGUAAAGCGUAUCCAUUUGACUAUUUUUAAUGCACCACUAAAAAAGCCACUAAGAAUAGGAAAUUCGCACCUCAAGUUAAAACAGACCCCCACCUUAUACUGCCUCUCCACCCGUGGUUAUUUCCCCAAUAACCUACCCACGCGUCGCCGCCAUUUGAAACAGAACGAAAACCUUCCACGCGGCCCUUUUAUAGUUACGUAGCCCCGCCCCGGUACCGGAAGGAACGCUUCCCCCUCCCCUCGCGCGUGCGCACAGGGGAAUAGUUGGGAAAGCACGCGCUUUUUGCUAAGCAUAAGAGAGCGGGUGUGCCCAAAGAGCGGGAAGGGAGGCUGCGUUUUAGCGUAGCCCAUUUUCUUAUGUUAUAAUAUACUGUAGAGGCUUGGCUUCAGAUAGGUUGGUGGUGUAUAUACGUAGGGCAGGACUUAGCCUUUACCCAGUGUGCUGUUGUGGAUGGAGUCAGAAGUGCUGGCUCCGAAUCCGAAAAACUCAAGAGGUUUCCUAGGAGCCUUUUGAGGAGAGAUAGGAAACAGCGUCAAAUAUCCCACUGACCUUGAAAGACCUGUUUUCUGACUCCAUGGCACAUCACUCACUCAGCCAAAGAAACAAUGGCUAAAAUCCAGUAAAGUAAAGUUAGGCUGUGUAAGUCUGCUAAUGUCAUCAUCUGCUGUGUGAGUGUUACUUGGGUAAUUAAAAAAAUUCUGUCACUCAGUACUGUAGUUCCUGGGAUCCUGGAGAAGCCUUUGGAGAUAGCAGGGCUAGGACUGGUGUUUUUCCAAGGUUUAAGUCUCUCCUACCAUCCCUCUCUCCCCUGAUGAUUCCCAAGGAUCAGAGGGAUCUUUGAAGGAGGGAUAAGAACACUUUAAUUACCAAAAUAUGGUUGCAUCUGAGGGCAUAAUCAGACUUAAUAAUAUGGCGUGAUUUUAUGUUACUGGAUUUCAGCUAGUGUCACAUGGAAAUAUUCAUUCAUUCAUUCUAUUUUUACUCCGCCCAUCUAGAUUUGGGAAUCUACUCUGGGCAGUUUACAGAAUAUAAAGAUAAAAACAGCAUUCAAAUAACUUUUGUUAAUAAAAGCAAUAAAGAUCAAUAAAGAAAACA